GCCGGAGUGGCGGAAUGGCAGACGCGGCGGACUCAAAAUCCGUUGGUCGCAAGGCCGUGUGGGUUCGACUCCCUCCUCCGGCACCA
rnacentral:tRNA from 3 species